CAGCCGUAAACUAUGCGCGUUAGGUGUAUCGGUGACCACGAGUUACCGAGGUGCCGAAGGGAAACCGUGAAACGUGCCGCCUGGGAAGUACGGUCGCAAGGCUGAAACUUAAAGGAAUUGGCAGGGGAGCACCACAACAGGUGGAGCCUGCGGUUUAAUUGGACUCAACGCCGGGAAGCUCACCGGAUAGGACAGCAGAAUGAUAGUCGGGCUGAAGACUCUACUUGAUGAUCUGAGAGGUGGUGCAUGGCGUCAGUGACU
rnacentral:rRNA from 1 species